CCCUGUUAUACCCCCAGGAGAAUUCCAACCCAAAUUGCCCAAAUCCCCCAUUUCUCUUUCUCUCAUUAUUAUCCAUUAAAAAAAUUGUUAACAAUUUGCAUUUGGAGUUAGAUAUAUAUAUAUAUACAUAUAUAUGUAUGUACAUAUCUAGUAGUUAGAAGACAGAGAAAGCCCUAAUGGCGGAGGCGGAGAAAGUAGGGGCCGGCGUGAAGGAGGAGGAGGAGGAGGAAGAACAGAAGUUUUUGGAAGGUGUGACAGUGUUGGAUUUUGAUAUGCUGUGCUCUACGGUGGCUUCUCAGACCCAAGGCAAAUGGAGGAAUUUAGAUACUCUUCAUCAUGAUGAAUCUCAAGAUGGUGUUGUUGGCGCUGAAUUUGGAGGUGUUCUUCGGAUGUGGGAAGGUGAAGUUGUCAAUUGCUUCGACGACCGCCGCAUCGCUCUCCAAUCCGCUUGUUGUCCAUGCUAUCGAUUUGGGAAGAACAUGGGGCGGGCUGGUUUUGGUUCUUGUUUUGUUCAGGGAAUUGUGUAUUUCAUUCUUGCUGCUACGGCACUUCUCAGCUGCAUAGCCUUUAUUGUGACCAAGAGAAAUUGUUUUCUGUAUUUGGCCGUUGUUUUCACCAUCUCAGUUGGAACAUAUCUGGGAUUUUACCGUACACAGAUCAGGAAAAAGUUUAACAUCAGUGGUAGUGAUGGGUCAUUGGAUGAUUGUGUCUACCAUCUAAUAUGCCCUUGCUGCACAUUAUGUCAGGAAUCUAGAACAUUGGAGAUGAACAAUGUUCAAGAUGGAACCUGGCAUGGUCGGGGUGACACAAUAUGCAUAGGACGCUAUGGUGAAGGCAACAAAGCAUUCUUUGAGCUACAACCACCGCCUAUAGUUUCAACCAAGUCUUCUGAUCCCUGCAGUCCGCAAAAAUGUAUAAAUGCCGCAGAUCACUUGUGGACUUCAGAAGUUGCGCAUUCUGCACCUCUGGUCGCACAAUCCCAAUAACAGUCGCGUUCCAAAUAAUGUUUGGAGUCUAAAGUAGAUUCAGAUUUUGGGGAUGGCUGUCCUGAGCAUAGGGCAUCCAACAUCUGCUAUGUGGCCUUGAGAGUGCUCUCUUCUGGUUUUGGAAUGUUGACAUGUUCAAAAGAUUCGAUAAGAAUAUGUUUGCACUUGAAGGAAGAUGGAGCAAAAUUCAUGUAUUUAUUCGCGUGUGGGGGUGAUUGGAACAGCCUCUGCAUCAAAAUCUUGUGUUGGCACUCAUUGGUACAAGGCAACAAGUCGUGCAUAGAGCAGCUGAAUGCCAUCCAUCCCCAAACCAAACCUCCUCCAAAAAGACUCAUGCCAAACAAUGGCAAUGGUUGGCCAUCCAAAAGUGAGUUGACCUCGAAGCAUUCGACAUCACCAUUAAGAACUGGCCAUAUUCAAAAGACCCAAAAAUAUUCAAUAAAUUAAUACCAAAAACUGGCCACAGUCCAACACUCACCCCUAUUCACAUCCGAAACCCAUGAAAUCUGACAUCUUUACCACCACACCAAUCCAGGGCUACUACUAUGGCGCCAAGUACAACCCUAGGAUUUGGAAAAAGAAGAUGGAAUCAAUGGCAAUACAUGUUGGAAUCCAAUGACAAGAAAGACAGUAGACACACCUUUCGAGGAGCAUAUGUGAAGAAACAAAAGCAAGCCAAAGGCCGAAGGGUCCUAGGAGUAGUGUGUUUUAGGACAGUUAG